AUUAGGAACUUCCGGUUUGCUUUAGGCUUGACCGGAAACCAGACCUUUGACCCGUCGACCUCUUUAUGCUCUCGGGCCGCGUAACGCGUUCAGAAGUUUUGGUCAUCUCUGUCACCUUGACGCCCGCCCUCAGUAUGGCACUUUCGUUCGAAUUCCUACGUUGCAAAGGCUCACUGCAAAACUCUGACCUGUGCACUGAGCCCAGUUCAGUUAAAUAUGAUUUUCUGCUCUCUGUUUGAGCAGGAGAAUAAAAGCAUCCAACUAAGGAAUCCGGAGACCACUGGGCAAAUGAAACGUUUGAAGAAAAAGGACAGAUUAUCAAGAGAAAAUGUCCCAAGAAGAGAGUAAGUUGUCCAAGCGUUAUUACCCACCUCCGGUUGACCAGUCUGAAGUCUUGGUUUGGAGCCCCGGACCAUGGGAGCCCUGGCACCCAUGCUGCCAUCUCACCCAAGUGGCCACGCCUUCCUGCUGUGGGUCUGGGGCCUAACAGCCCCUGGGGGUGCUUCCUUUCUUCCUGCCUGGCUGCUAGGCCUUACAUGGAAAUUCCCAAAUGCUCGUCUCUGCUGCCCUCUACAGACAUAGUGACAAAUGAUCCUUAUGUGUUUCCUAUUCAAUUAACAAUUAAAGCUGGCUUUGGGGUUGGUGCAUA